rnacentral:rRNA from 1 species
GACGAACGCUGGCGGCGUGCUUAACACAUGCAAGUCGAGCGGUAAGGCCCUUUCGGGGGUACACGAGCGGCGAACGGGUGAGUAACACGUGGGUGACCUGCCCUCAGCUCUGGGAUAAGCCCGGGAAACUGGGUCUAAUACCGGAUAUGACUCCAUGACGCAUGUUGUGGGGUGGAAAGCCUUGUGCGGCUGAGGAUGGGCCCGCGGCCUAUCAGCUUGUUGGUGGGGUGANGGCCUACCAAGGCGACGACGGGUAGCCGGCCUGAGAGGGCGACCGGCCACACUGGGACUGAGAUACGGCCCAGACUCCUACGGGAGGCAGCAGUGGGGAAUCUUGCGCAAUGGGCGAAAGCCUGACGCAGCGACGCCGCGUGAGGGAUGACGGCCUGGUU